UACGGAGGGUGCAAGCGUUAUCCGGAUUCACUGGGUUUAAAGGGUGCGUAGGUGGGUUUGUAAGUCAGUGGUGAAAUCUCCGUGCUUAACAUGGAAACUGCCAUUGAUACUAUAGAUCUUGAAUUUUCUGGAGGAUAGCGGAAUAUGUCAUGUAGCGGUGAAAUGCUUAGAUAUGACAUAGAACACCAAUUGCGAAGGCAGCUAUCUACAGGGAUAUUGACACUGAGGCACGAAGGCGUGGGGAUCAAACAGG
rnacentral:rRNA from 1 species